rnacentral:lncRNA from 1 species
AUUUUCAAACAUUGUUUAGAUGCCUAUAACCUACUGGUUUCAAUGACAGAAGUUUACGACACUUUGGAUCACUUUUGUGGAUGCCAUGUUGAAUUUGGAUGGUUGUUUCAAACAAUUUUGGAGAACUCAUAUGAAGAGACAAGAAUUUCAGAAACAAAGUGCUAUAAGUGUUUUAUGAAAAUGGCUAUGAUGCGUCAGUUCUAAUUAAUACAUACUUACUAAAACUGGCAUGACUGCCUUCAUCUUCAUUGAAGCAACUGAGAAUAAAUCAGAUGAAAAGACAACAAAUAAAGAAGUUUUAAGCAGUUCAGUGACCUAAAUCACUUGCUACUCCCUGUGUUUUCUUGGAUAGGUUAGAUAGUUCCCAUUUUUUUUUCUGCUAAAAAGUUCUAUGAAUUACAUGGGUAAUGAGAGAGAAAAAAAUAAAACCAGACAGUUAUUUUGAAUUAAGUGAGAAAACUAGCUAUGGUUGUUUUGUUACUGAGUGCGUAGUCAGGACACAUACUGAUCUCUAAAAGUUAGAAGUUUCAUUUCAUAUUAUUCUACUACUUGGUACCUGUGUCAUCGUUACAUGAGCUUUGUCCACAUUAUGCCUUCAUGUUCACAUUUAAUAUCAUCUCAAUUACUUAAUGAGUUGUUAUAAUAUUCUGAAGUAAGCAGUGCAAUUUGUCCAUAUAUACUUAAUUAAGAAACAAACCUGUUUUCUUUCUUCACUAUUAAUCACAUCAUUCAUAUCUUUACUAAUUUGCCAAUACUCACAAUUUAGUACAGAUUACAAGAGCUGAGUCCUUUUUUUUUUAAUUUUUUUCCUCUACAGAGUAAAUUCAACAUAACGUGAUUAUUUUAUAUAAAUGCUCAGGAGAGAUCUUGGACACAACUGUUUUUAGCUGUAGUGUUACUACAUUAGACACUAAGUAACAGACUGGGAGUGUUGACAAAGCAUAAAAGUCAGGAACUGAAGAGCUCUGAUCUUGGCAUUGCUAUUACAUUUUUGAAAGACUUUGUCUAACCCCUUGUCUAGACAUGGGAAACUUCAGGGACUUGCUAUCCUUCAGAAAUAGCCUUAGACCUCUCUGUACCUUAGCUUAUUCGUGUGUGAAAUAUUUUAAUUAUGCACAAUUAGUUUUGUAGUGAUCUAUG